rnacentral:misc_RNA from 1 species
GAAGCAAAACUAUUUUUUGCAUAAAGUUUAUCAAAGAAAUUUACAUGUCAUAUCCAGAGGGCUGAUUUUGCCAAGAACGGGAUUUUCAGUUCACAAUUGACGUCAGGUUGUAGGUUGAGAAUAAGUGAAGCCUAUGGCCAAGCUCGUGAAAAAACGGCUACGAAGCUUACAAGAUGGCGACAGAUGAGAGAACUGCGAUGGUCGAGGAGCUGAAAUUUAGUCCGUAUACUUCAUUUUUUGGAACUGAAGAUUUAAUUUCCUCUCCUAUAGUUAAAGAAGAAUGUGAUAACUCUGAGAUUAUGAAGCUUCCAACAAAAGAUAUGGGUUUAUUUGGCUACUGUCCUGUGUAUGACGAUGUCUGCCUAGUCAUCUGUAAUAACUGCCGUAGAAGCAUAAAACCUCAAGCUAUAGAGUCGCAUAGAAAAAAAUGUAUUACAAACUCUUCUGAUUCACAUAAAACAAGUGCAUCAUUAACUCAAAUCAAUCAAAUCAACAGCAGGAUAUCUGAAGGGGCCAAACUUUCAAAUACAGGAAGGAAUGAUAAGAAGGACACUUAUUCAUCAUCAUCUAAUAAUGGCGUUCCUUUUAAUCAUUCUAUUGACCAAAUACUCUCAGCAAAAGUUGUAGUUCGGAAAUUAAGCCCUACAGGAGAAAGUAUUAAAAAUAGCUCUCAGAAAUUGAGUCCUAUAGAAGAAAGUAUUAGAAGCAAUUCAUCUGUUCUGCCUCAUUAUCAGUACUUGCCUUCCACAUCAGGUCCAGGACCUGGGGAUCAUUCCAUUUCUAGAACUUUUCGAUUUUCCAAUUCUGGUAUUAUAUCAGAUUCGUAUGUGAAUAUAAAAAACUUUAGUUCAGAGACUCUAUCAAAUAUUUCACCAGUAGUAGUUUUGAAUAACACGAUUCCUAUUAAUUCUGCAUUAACAACAAUAAAAACAGAAAAUUUGGUAAAACAAUUUAAAGCCAAAGAAUUCAAUCCAGAUCAGCACUGUGGAGUUCCUUUGGCAGAUGGAAAUCCGUGUGUGAAAGCUCUUACUUGCAAACAACACCGUAGUGCAUUGCGAAGAGCUGUUCCCGGUAGAUCAAAAGAAUUAGAUGUUCUCAUCAAAGAACAAAAAGCUCGGAGAAAGGUGGCUUCAACUAAAUUGAUGCAAAAUAAUUCUUGUGCAAACUCUGUAAAUUUUCAAAAUGAAAAAAGGACAUCAAUGGAAUUUCAGUCUCUAAAUUGCAUACCUAAUAAUUGCAUUAAAAUCUGUCUUGAACCAAGUGAACUUCAAAAUUAUGAAAGGACAAACUGUGUUCCUUUUUCUAGAAAUGGGAAUGAAAGUUGUUUGCUGUUGCCUACUGAAGACAGUUGUAAUCAGAGUGCUCUAGACAGUGUUCAGCCUUUAGAUUAUGGACCUUGUGUAGAGCCUACAAUAGACUAUGGACCUUGUGUAGAGCCCACAAUAGACUAUGGACCUUGUGUAGAGCCCACAAUAGACUAUGGACCUCCUGCAGAGCCAGCAAUAGACUAUGGACCUCCUGCAGAGCCAGCAAUCGGUUAUGAAUGUCAAGCAGAACCAGCAAUAGGUUAUGGAUGUCCAGUAGAGCCAGCAAUAGAAUAUGAAACUCCUACAGAGCCUAAAAUAGAUUAUGGACCUCUUGCAGAGUCAAUAAUACAUUAUGAAUCUUCUGUUGAGCCAACAAUAUGUCAAACUGAAAGCACAAAUCAAUUGCCAAAUUCCAUUCCUCAAGAAGAACUGAGAAAUUCUUUAGACUGUGGAGAUUUUAAAACGGGUUGUUUAGCUUCUUCAUGUGCUAGCCAAAUUGAGACAUGUGAUACAUUCUGUGAAUUAAACAACUGUACAGAAAAUAGUAUUAAAAUACCUGAAAUAGAAAACUUACCAGAAAUAGAACCUACAGUUUCUUCACAAGCUGAUGUUAAAUCUCCAAGCCCUGCCCCUUCCUGGAACCGAACAUCGUCACCUUCAGCAGGAGGUGAGUCUGUCACUGACUCGUGCAUGCUCAAGGAUCGUCCCGAAACGAAAGCAGCUUUAAUUCGGAAACCAUCACAAAUGCCUCAUAUUAUAUAUCAUCCGAGACCUAGCGCUAUUUGCACAUAUGGCAUGAGAGAAACUAAACAUGGAUUAGUUUUGACCAGUUACCGCUCUGAUUCUGUGAGAGAAGCCUUGCAAAAAGCUAUUGAAGAAGAAAAACUCUAUCUGCAAAGACGGAAAGAAAAUUCUGACCUCAGCAUGAAGUCUAAACCUGCCUGUGAACUUGCCAUGUCUUCAGAGCUUACGCAUUCAUUAACAAACAGGAAGGCUGUGCCCAAAAGUGAGCUUUUAUCAUGCAAUGUUCCUGAAAAAAACAUUGUAUCGACGUUUGCAUCUAAACCAUCUGACAUAAUAUGUACUACAGGAUCUGAUAUUCUGUCAUACACAUCUGCCUUUAGAAAUGAACAUGUGUCUUUUAAUAAAUUACAGACUCUUAGGAAUAUUGUUACUUCAUCUGGAACUAGUGUUGUUAAUAGUCACCUUAAAGCUUUUCCAAUUUCAAGCAUAUCAAAAAAUAGUGAUAGAACUACUCCGAAAAUUGUGCAGAGGUAUAUAAAUCCUUCUUAUGUUACAGGUUCUGCCAAAAGUCCAGAAAAUGCAACUCCAUCUAAAAGAAUAAGAUUCAGUUUGCCACAAAUUUAUGAGCCUGCUGCAGAAUCUUCCACAAGACAUUUAACUCGUGCGUCUACCUUUUCUUCUCAGGCUCUGAAUCAUCUAAUAGCACCUCUCACGUUUAAUAAUAUUGUGCAUGCCAAAACUCAUCCUAAAGAAAGUUUUCCAAAUUUUGAAAUAAAUAAGCUCAAUAAUGAAAGAAAAGAAAACUCUGCCCGUAAGUCACUGUUGACUUACGUAGGUGGGUUUGAAGAGGAUCGUACAGGUUUUAUAUGUUCUUUUAAGUCAAGAUUUCCAGUUAGCAAUAAAAAUCAAUUUGUAUGCAGUUUUAGUGGUCCCUGUGAACUAGAAAAUACAAAAGUUAAUGUAACUUCACCAAGGAGAACAUUAAAUAUGUGUGAAAAUACAGAAAUUGAGAGGACAGAAGAAUGUUCAUUUGAAGUCUCUAGGACUUCCGAAAAUCAUUCAUCCUUUUCUUCGGUUCCUUCUAAAUCAUAUAAUCGUAGUUCUGUGUCAUCUGUUGUUUUAACAUCUGAAAAUAAAACGCACUCAGAGCAACUUGAUUUUGCAUCUUUUGAAUGCGGUAAAAAUCUCAGAUCUGAUGUGUAAUAUGGAGAAUCGUUCUGUGUUACUCAAUCCAGUCUGGAUUGAAUAGGACUAAAAGUUCUGCGGUCUACCAACCCAAGCGAAGGAUGAUUCUAUUCCUGAAAUUUAGCGCAGUCUGUUGAAAAUCAGAAUGAAAAACAUCCCAGACUGGAAUCUACCGCGAUUGGUUCCUAUCAUACUUUCAAUGGAUUUGAUCACUCUCUAGAGCCUUCACCACCCCACUGUUCAUUCAGCACAACAGAGAAAUCCUGUGAUGAUAAAGUCAGCAUAGCAG